CAAAAAUUCGACCCCGAGGCACGGCGUCCACGCUGCCUGCGCGGCUUUCGAGACGGGCGUCCCUGGAGAGCGGGGGGGCAGCAGCGUCCGCAGCUGGGACACUCCCAGACGCCCCCGUCUCCGGACGCACCAGUGGCCUGCAGAGAUGUCCGAACGGCUGGACGGGGGCUCCAGCUGGAGCCGGGGUCAGAAAACGCCCCUUGCGCGCGGCGGCCUCGGCCCAACACUCGAAAUGGGUCACCAAGUCAACAGUACUUUCGGAGUAGGACGGAGCCGAGUUACAUUCUUCGUGGCCGGCCGCGACACGGUGCAGAGCCGGCAGCCCGCUGUCCGCGCUGGCAGAGCCCACGCAGCAGAUGGAUUACCAAGUGCCGUGCUCCUGUACAAAAGAACUAAGAUCAAAGUGACAAGUUUUCUGUCUCCAGAGUGGACCUGUGAUGCUGCUAAGGGAUGUUGUUCAGGAAAGGUCUGACUUCUUAGGAGAGCAACCUGAGUUUUCGAGUGACAAGGUUUUCACCUUUCCAUACUUUUGAAGGCAGUAACCUCUUAACAGUGUACACAUUACAUACGAGUUCCACUUCCCCCACUUUCAGAUUCUGGUAUCUUUCAUCAAAGCAUGAAGUGGCAGCGUCCACAGCUGCUAAUGUGGUCCCACACAAGCUGGUUAACCACCCCUGCCCCAGGCGGAGCCCCCACAAGCCGGCCCAGCAACCCCUGCCUGGCCCUGGGAACCCAACUCCACAAAGAUAAGGAAAAGCCCUCCCUGAGCUUUUGAAGUCAACUCCCUUCAGUAUGCAAUGGCAUGAUUUAAAAAAAAAAAAAAAUCAUUGCUUAUUCCUAGCAAAUGAACAAGAAAUGUUUCGUAAAAAUGUAAGUGUGGUUUUCACUCUCACUCUGUGGGACAUUUAAAAGCCCAUUUAAAAUAAUCCUACCCUCAGGAUUUAGAGUUUAGAGUUUCUCCUUCUCACUUUCACAUAUAAGAAAUUGGGCCAGGCAUCCACAUUUAACUAUCGGGAACAUAUCUGUUUAGGGAGAAAACAAACAUGGCUUUUGUAAGUAUAGAACGGUGAUGGUAAUUUGCAAAAAUACUCAUUAGUUUAGUUUCAGAGAGGUACUUCUCAACAUUGCUUUGUAUUCUGGGUACUAGUUUGCACUUCACUGCUUCUCUUUGAAAGUUUCUGGGCCUUCACAUGUCUUGCAAACUACUAGAAGACUUCACUAACUGAAGGCCACUUUUAGCACUUAAUUAGCAUGCACCCAAGAAAUGACACCAGGACGAGCUGGCUAUAUAAACUGAGAAACAAAGACUUUAAAAUAGUUUUAAACUUCACUUUUUCUUUCUCUUUUACUAUAUUUUAUCUCUCAGGUUCCACUUGAAAUACUAGUAGUAAUCAUCCACGUCUGUACCUUGGAAAUAUUGGUCUUAUGGCAAUAAAUAAAUAAAUAAAUAUCA
rnacentral:lncRNA from 1 species